CAGGUGUGUUACCUGUGCCCAGGUGUGCCCAGGUGAGUUACCUGUGCCCAGGUGAGUUACCUGGUGGCGGUGGCAGUGCCGUCUCUCGGGGCAGGGGGCGCUCUCGGUGUUGUUCUGGCACGGACAGCCCCCAAUGCCCCCAAUGCCCCCCCAGGUGUGUUACCUGUGCCCAGGUGAGUUACCUGUGCCCAGGUGAGUUACCUGGUGGCGGUGGCAGUGCCGUCUCUCGGGGCAGGGGGCG